rnacentral:tRNA from 1 species
UACAGCUCAGUGGUAGAGUGCUUGCCUAGCAGGCAUGAGGCCCUGGGUUCCAUCCCCAGCACUGAAA